rnacentral:rRNA from 1 species
UAACGGCCUACCAAGGCUAAUAUGGCUAGCAGGUGUGAGAGCACGACCCGCGCCACCAGCACUGAGACACUGGCCAGACGCCUACGAGAGGCUGCAGUCGAGGAUCUUCGGCAAUGGGCGCAAGCCUGACCGAGCGACGCCGCGUGUGCGAUGAAGGCCUUCGUGUUGUAAAGCACUGUCGAGGGGGAGGAAAGCCCGCAACGAUCUUACCUAUCCCUGGAGGAAGCACGGGCUAAGUUCGUGCCAGCAGCCGCGGUAAGACGAACCGCGCAAACGUUGUUCGGAAUCACUGGGCUUAAAGGGCGCGUAGGCGGGUGGUCAAGUCAUGGGUGAAAUCCUCCAGCUUAACUGGAGAACAGCUUCUGAUACUGGUCAUCUGAGGGGGGUAGGGGCAUGUGGAACUUCCGGUGGAGCGGUGAAAUG